GACGAACGCUGGCGGCGUGCCUAACACAUGCAAGUCCACGAGAAAGCGGUAGCAAUACUGCCGGUAAAGUGGCGAACGGGUGAGUAACACGUAGGUAACUUGCCCUUGGGACUGGAAUAACCUCGAGAAAUCGGGGCUAAUACCGGAUAAUGCAGCGGACCCGCAUGGGUAUGUUGUUAAAGUGGUCUUGGCUUGCCAAGUUCACACCUAAGGAUGGACCUGCGUCCCAUUAGCUAGUUGGGAGGUAACGGCUCACCAAGGCGACGAUGGGUAGCCGGCCUGAGAGGACGACCAGCCACACUGGGACUGAGACACGGCCCAGACUCCUACGGGAGGCAGCAGGUGGGAAUAUUGGACAAUGGGCGCAAGCCUGAUCCAGCGAU
rnacentral:rRNA from 1 species